rnacentral:piRNA from 1 species
UACAUGUUCUGUAAUCCUACUCCACAAGUC